UUGGGUGGAACAAGUUAUUUAAUAACAUUACCGAUGCUUUUGAUCUGAUGGUCUAAAUAUUCAAUGAGGAUUCAGCACACUUUCCAUACAUAGUUUCCUUAACAUUAAAUACUGACAGUCUGAUAUGGAGGUUCUUCGGAUGUAUCGGAUGACCUUGGAUACAGUGAAACGAUUCAAUAAGGGAUCCAACAGGCAAUGAAUGGGUUUCCUCAUCUCGUGGCUUCGGAAAUAAAGUGAAAAUCCUUGAUAUUCACUGAGCCAGCACAAUUUGGGAGCUUUAUCCUCAGCUAUUAUUCUGUUUUAUGACGUCUCCUCUAGCCUCUCAAUGGCUCGCUUUCUGAGCAGCUGUCAUUAACCUCCAUAUUUAUGGUUCCCACAAAGGAUAC